rnacentral:lncRNA from 1 species
CGAGCCCAGAACAAGUGGCAGGUGCUCGCAGGACUCCAGGUGGGCAACCAGUAGGACAAAGCGCAGAUCAUCACCAGCCUCACUCUUCUCAAGCUCGAGCUGCUUCCGGCAUAAAUACCGAACAAGCGUAUCAGGGAGAGGUCACACCAAGGGCCCCCACACCUCGGUGUGCCGUUCUAGGGAGAACUUUGAACAAAGACCACCACCUCUUUAUAUCUGAGUGUGUGUGUGGAUAUGAGUGCAUGAGAGAGAAAUGGAAAGAAACUGAGGCAAUAAUAAAUAUUCAUUUUAGUCUUUGUGUCUUUCUGUAAUUGAGAAGAACCUCUAGUAACGGAAAAUCCAUUCCUAAAGGACACGUUUAGGAAGUAAGUUUGGGCUGGGGAAGGUAUGCGGGGAAAAACUCGAGCUACAAGACGAAAAUAGACAAAACAUCAUGGUCACAAAUUUCUCUAAUUCCAAACUUGUCAUAACUUGAUUAGGGCCUGGUUUGAAACUUACCUUGACUUGGAAAAGCUGGUUUUGGGUCAUAAACACUGUAAAUGAGAUCACAAGGGAGAAAUUGCUUAUUGGAGAGAAGAAUUUUCAAGACAUCCUCAGGACUUUACAAACAGCCAUUACUUAACAUUAAUUAAAGUUUUUGUGAUACAAAUUAUAAAGCAUUGAGCACAAUAUAAAUCCAAAGUCACACAAAGCCGUUCCAAUGCUUUUAUAGGCGAUUCUGAUAUGUGGAUUAAAACUGAUGUAAGAAUCCCCUACUACACGAAAAAUGAUUUCAUUUUCAGACAUUUUCUAAUUUACAUACUCUAGGGCUGAAAUGGUGAAAUUUUGUCACAGACUUUUAGUGAUUAAUAAAAAUGAACAAACGGCAAACUAAGAAUUUAAUAAGAUCCCUAAUGUGUCCUUUAAAUAUACCAAAAUAUAUGCCCUAUUUGACUACUUAGAAUCCCUGCAUUGUAAUAUUUGUUUUGGAAAUAAUUGAGAAUAAUAAGUUUCUAUUCUAUAAAAUUUUUUUCAGGAUCUGAAGUGAAAAAAAUUGAAGCCACAAAUGUUCCUUGUACACAGCUUUCGAUGUCAUUUUUUCAUCGGUUAUAUGAUGAAGAUAUUGUACGCGAUGAUGGACAUAUCAUUAAGUGUUUAGAUUCUUUUUGCGAUCCCUUUCCUAUAUCCGAUGAAUUACGAAAAGUAAGUAUAGAUUUUUAAAAUUUCAUAAUAGAAUUUUAUUUCAGGAAAUGCUUAAUGUCAAAAACCUUUACCUAUGUAAAAUACCUAAAACACCUUUUAUCAAUUAUUAAUGAUCAGUGACAUCAGUUACAUUGGUAGAUUUUUUUCUUGGACGGGACUUUUACUAUCAACUGAAUUAUCUGUGUAUUUCAGUAGUUCUCAACCAGAUGCUACUAAUAGUCAUGCAUAGAGGCCAGAGAUGUUGCUAAACAUCAUGCCGUGGGCAGGACAGCCCCCUACAACAGAGUUCUCUGCCCCAAAAUUUCAAUAGCGCUAAGGCCGAGAAGCCCUGACCUGCUUAAGUCAUGGCUAUUUUUCUUCGAAAUGGGGCUCUUAACAUAUCAAAUGACUAUUUAAAAAUAUCCCUGUUGUAAAAGAAUCGUUCUGCCUCACAGCUGAGAUCAAAAAAGCCAUUUUAGGGGCACCUAGGUGGCUCAGUCAGUUAAACGUCCAACUCUUGGUUUCGACUCAGGUCGUGAUCUUGUGGUUUGUGGGUUCGAGCCCCACAUCGAGCUCCACACUGACAGUCUGGAACCUACUUGGGAUUCUCUCUCUCCCACCUGCCCCUAUCCCUCCCCUACUCACCCUCUCUCUCUCUCUCUCAAAAUAAAUAAACUUUUUAAAAAACCUUCGAUUAACUAAUUUUUUUUUAGCAAGAGGUGUAUUGAAUCAGAAGACAUAGAUUAUUUAGCUAAUUCCUGAGUUAUUAUUUAUAAGAUAGUAACUAAGCAAAUCAUUCAAUAUCUUGAGCCCCAAGAUCUUAUCUGUACAACAUAGAGAUUAAAAUUCCCAUUCUAUCUUGUUGAAACUGUUGAGAUAUGAGUUGAGAGAGCAUUUAAAUAUACUUUUUAAAAAGUGUGACAUGUUAAAAUGAAAUGCAUUAUUAUCAUCAUUAUUUUAUUUAUAGAGAGAGCAAGAGCAACUGGGAGAGAGGCAGAGGGAGAGAGAGAGCAUCUCAAGCAGGCUCCAUGUUCAGCACAGAACCCAACACAGGGCCCCAUCUCAUGACCUAAUCCAAAAUCAAGAUCAUGACCUGAGCCAAAAUCAAGAACCGGACACUCAAUUGACUGAGCCACCCAGGCGCCCCUUAUUAUCAUUAAAUUAUGGAGAUAAACUGUUUACCAAAUGGACAAAAAUUAGGGCUUUUAGGGGCACCUGCAUGGCUGUCGGUUAAGCUGCUGACUUCGGCUCAGGUCUUGAUCUCGUGGUCCGGGAGUUCGAGCCCCGCGCCAGUGUCUGUGCUGACAGCUCCGAUUCUGUGUCUCCCUGUCUCUCUGCCCCUCCCCUGCUUGCACUCUGUCUUUCUCUCUCUCAAAAAUAAGUAAACAUUAAAAAAAAAAUUAGGGCCUUCAGGGGCUCCUGGCUGGCUCAGUCGAUGGAGCGGGCAACUCUUGAUCUCAGGAUUACGAGUUCAAGCCCCACAUUGGGUGUAGAGAUUAUUAAAAAAAAAAUAAAGCUUUGGUAUCAAAUAGACAUAGAUUCAAAUACAGGCUCAGCCACUUAAUAACUGUGGUACUUAGCCUCAUUUUUUCAUCUAUAAAAUAAGAAUGAUGCAAGAAUCAUGUGAGGGGCCCCGUGUUGCUCAGUCGGUUAAGGUCAUGAUCUCACAGUUCAUGGAUUCGAGCUCUGUGCUGACAGCUCGGAGCCUGCUUGAGAUUCUCUGUCUCCAUCUGUCUGCCCCUCUCCCACUCGACUCUAUCUCUCUCUCUCAAAAAAAAAAGAAAAAAAUUCUGUGAGAUAAUGCACUUAAAGUGUUUAGCCCAAUGCCUAGUAUUUAGUAAGCUUUCAGUAAUAGUAAUGACUAGCCACUAAUUACUAUUAUUCUACAUUUAGGAGAUGUCGCUAUGUGUAAGUUGAAUAAGGAGAUGCAUAAGUUGAAUUUAUUGUAAAUCCAGAUGGGCAUGACCUAGGGAAGCCCCUGACACACCAUUCUGGACAUAGACAUCUUGUCUGUAGGAGACCGGAAGGCAUCCAGCCAGUCUCUGCGUUCUUCUACACCAACAGAACACCUGAAAGAACCCUUAGUUGAAGAAGACAAUCAAACUACUCAUUGAGGAUGUCCAAACACAUAACUGAGGAGACGAUAUAUAGUUGCUCUGUAGUUAGGUGGUAUGUAUUACACAAGAUAAGCACCAUACCUUGGGGAUCUGAUAAUAAUUUCUACUCUUCCUUACCAAGGACUGGAAAUUAACCUCUACAAAGUGUCUAGUCUAGUCCGGGUCUUCUUCCUUUUGGGGCACUAUGUCAGCUCUUCUUAUCUGUCCCCGAUCUCUGCUGGCACAUGUACCUCUCUACCACAAGGCCCUGUCCCCUAAUUUCAGAGAGCUCACCCUCACUUAUACUGAGAGCAUUGGCAACGGACUUUUCGAGAGACGGAUGCGCCUUCUCUGCUCUGCUGCUUGUCGUCUGGUUUUCUUUUUUUAAUUUUUUUUUAGAAUUUAUUCAUUUUUGAGAGAGAGAAUGAGGGAGCAUGAGUGGCAGAGGGGCAGAGAGAGUGGGAGACGCAGAAUCUGAAGCAGGUUCCAGGCUCUGAGCUGUGUGCUGACAGCUCAGAGCCCGACGCGGGGCUCAAACUCACGGACCGGGAGAUCAUGACCGUCGGACGGAAGGAAGUCGGACGCUCGACCGCCUGAGCCCCCCAGGCUCCCCUCUGCUGCUGGUCUUCUUUACUUCCAUGCGUAGCCCUUGAAUUCAGGAAGUACCCACACUGUUUUUCUGUCGCCCCGUGGCGACAAGCAAGGUGUUAACUUGGCUGCUUUCUGGCUGAAAAAAUAAAUCGAUAAAUAACCUCCAGCCUUAGCCUGAACUGAAAAGGGCCCUCCGCCAUGCAGCAGCACCGAGCCCGUCACACCGCCUCACCGAGGCCUGCCGAUAACCACCUUCCGCAGGCGGCUCGCAAGUCUGGCUCCUUAACCACAUGGCACACCUCCUCCCUGAGGGCCCCACGUGGAAGCACACGGGGAGAUCAGCCGCAGCUGGGUCCCGCUUCCACAUUUAUUCCCCAAAUAUUUUCAUUUCUGUCAUUUUUACACACGCAGCCUAAUCAGUUCAGUAACCAGAGUGCUCAUGCGAGGAAUGCGUUCGUUCGUCAUUCCUGAGAGCUUUAGUCGCUCUUGUGUUAAGCCAGAUCUUUAGGUAGCUACAAACUCAGGCUUCAAUAUCACAUCAUUUCCUUAGAGAGAGAGAGAGAGAGAGAGAGAGAGAGAAGGAGAGAAGCAGGCAAGGAGGGGAGAUGGGCCAAGCCGUAUGUGUGGCACACCCAGGGAGUGAUAAACCGUAAACCACUUCCCCUCACCUUUUACUGCAUGUGACUUUGGCUUUCAUAAACUCAUUGCAAGUAACCUGCACACUGGCAACACCACAGAGUUUAUUUUAAGUGCCUUUUUUAUGCUGACCUUGUGAUGAAUAUUCAUUUGAGAUUGGGGUAAAUCAAAUGUGAAGCUUGAUCAGGUUUCCUAAUUUAAGUGCACUUCUUGCUACUAGACAGUGAUUUUGUAUAACUCCUAUUUCCCUCCUUUACCUGUUUGGUAGUGUUAGUGUUAUGUACAAUUUUUACAGCAUUCCGACUCCUUGUUGUGUUUUCUUUCCCACUUUGUUUCUUGGUUACAGGUUUCUGCCUUUUAACUUUUCGUACUGUGUGGGUAUUUUACUGUUAGCUACUUCACAUUCUUUUUACAAGCAGGUGGAGUAUAAACAACUCAAUAAAAGAAAUGUGUGUUAUGGUUUACAUUCGUCACCUUGUUCGUAUCUACCACAAUCGAGUCAAUCAGUUGUGUGGAAUGGCCAAUGGUAUAAGAAACCCUCCCACGUCCGACCCUGUCGUGCUGUUUUCUGAAAGAGGUGGUGAAGUCUCCAGAGAGCGAGAGUCAGUAUAGAUGGGCGAUGGGUAGGAUGAUAUUAUUAGGGGACAGCAGGAAAAGAGGUGGUUAUGAUGGUCCACUUACCUGAAUAGUUCAAAAUGGAGUAAUGGGGGUGGGCCGGGGCAGGGGUGGUAAGGAAAGUGGUCAUCCAGAAGUGCAGGGGUAGGGCUUAGAAAAUGAGGGCCAGCUUCCAGACUGAAGCAAAGGCUACAGACCUUCUGGGAUGGGGAAGUUUCUCCAUUUAUUUAUGGUCCCUUGUUUCCAAAUAAGAUUUAAGGUGACUCAGCACUAAAAUUGCAGUAGUGCUAAAACCAUUACUAAAGAUACAAAUUAGAACAAAGGUAUAAAGGGGAAGAGGAGAAGAUUUAGAUUUAUUCCUUUAACUGAGCAUCAGUACCUAAAGGUAACAUGGAGGGAAAAUGAGUGCAGGUCUCACCGAUUACUCUUUCUGGUUGUUCAGGAUUGGUUGUUGACAUAGGCCUAGGAUUAUUUGUAAGUUCAUAAAUGGAAACUUUUGAAAACAAAAAUUGGAGCCUUAAAUCAUGUUAGAUUAAGAUGAAUUUUAUCAUUCUCCAUAGGUUUUGCUAGUGGAAGACUCAGAAAAAUAUGAAAUAUUUAGCCAAGCUGAUAGAGAAGAGUUCCUGUUUUGUCUUUUCAAACAUCUUUGCCUUGGUGGAGCCCUUUGUCAGUACGAAGAUGUGCUUAAUCCAUAUCUGGAAACAACAAAGCUUAUCUAUAAAGAUCUAGUGAGGUAAUGGUGCUAGAUUACAGUAGGUAAAUCUCUGGUUAACGGAGUGCGUUGUUUAACUGUGCUGGGCUCGCCUAGCGUCUGUCGGGUCCUGUUGACGCCAACCACCAAAGCGUGUGAGAACAGCACCGCUUCGAACCCCUUUUCCGGCCUCUCCCUUCUCGUCCAGGUUGGGACACGGUCACAUCUCCCUGACUCUCUUUAGCACCCAGUUCCCGGUUCUCAUCUGACUGUGCUUCCUUCCCCAUCCAACGGAUUACUCGCUCCAUGCCUGCUUAGCGGCUGACUUAUCCCAGAUCUUCUAUCACAUUCUCCCCAGGUUCCUGUCGUGCUUACCCCAGGUCUUCUGUCACACUUAUCCCAGGCAUCCUGUCACAUUUACCUCAGAUCUCCUGUCACACUUACCUUAAGUCCCCUGUCACCUCACCCCAGGUCUGCUGUCACAUCAGUUUCCUAUCACACUUAACCCAGGCUUCCUGUCACACUUAUCCCAGGCGUCCUCUCACAUUUACCUCAGAUCUCCUGUCACACUUACCCCAGGUUCCUGUCACAGAUACCUCGGUCUCCUGUCCACUCACCCAGGUCUCAUGUCACAUUUAGCACAGGUCUCAUUUCACAUUUACCACCAGUCUCAUGUCACCUUUACCCCAGGUCUCCUGUCACAAUUACCCCAGGUCUCCUUUCACAUUUACCCCAGGUCUCCUGUCAUAUUUACCCCAGGUGUCCUCUCAAAUUUAUUUCAGGUCUCCUGUCACCACAUCCCAGGUGUACUACCCUUUUACCUCAGGGCUCCUUCACACUUACCCAAGGUUCCUCUCAUACUUACCGUAGGUCUCCUGUCACAUUCACCCCAGGUCUGAUGUCACUUUUACCUCAGGUCUCCUGUCACACUUAUCGCAGAUCUCCUGUCACAUUCACCACAGGCUUGAUGUCACUUUUACCUCAGGUCUCCUAUCACACCUACCCAGGGCUCCUGUCCCAUUUACCACAGGAAUCCUGUCACACUUACCCCAGAUGUCCUGUGCAUUUACCACAGGUCUCUUGUCGUAUUUACCCCAGGUCUCCUGUCACAUUCACCCCAGGUCUGAUGUCGCUUUUACCUCAGGUCUCCUAUCAUACUUACCCCAGGUUCCUGUCACACUUACCCUAGGUCUCCUUUCACACUUAUCCCAGGUCUUGGGUCACACUUACCCCAGGUCUUCUGUCACACUUACUUAAGGCCUCCUGUCACACUUACCCAGGUCUCCUGCCACACUUAACCCAGGCCUCCUGUCACAUUUAUCCCAGGCGUCCUGUCACAUUUACCUCAGAUCUCCUGUCACACUUACCUUAAGUCCCCUGUCACCUCACCCCAGGUCUGCUGUCACAUCAGUUUCCUAUCACACUUAACCCAGGCUUCCUGUCACACUUAUCCCAGGCGUCCUCUCACAUUUACCUCAGAUCUCCUGUCACACUUACCCCAGGUUCCUGUCACAGAUACCUCGGUCUCCUGUCCACUCACCCAGGUCUCAUGUCACAUUUAGCACAGGUCUCAUUUCACAUUUACCACCAGUCUCAUGUCACCUUUACCCCAGGUCUCCUGUCACACUCACCCCAGGUCUCUUGUCACACUCACCUCAGGUCUCCUGUCAUGUUGGCCCCAGGUCUCUUUUCACACUUCUCCUAGAUUUCCUGUCACACCUACCCCAGAACUCCUGUUAUACUUACCCCAGGUCUCCUGUGACAUUUACCCCAGGUCUCUUUUCACAUUUCAGGAGAACACAAGAUUCCUCAGGUUGUGUAAAUUUGCUUGACUAAUAGUAGAACAAUUACCUUUUUUGUAGAGAGGUGGAAAGAUUUUUAUCUAGGCAUAAACUUUACAUUUUUAAAUUAAUUCUAAAUUCCAGGUUUGCUUAGGUGAUCCACUAGUUCUGUUUUUUCUCUUUGAAGAUCUAAUUGGUAUAAAAACGUUAUAAUCAUUUAUUUAUACUUGGGUUGGGCUUUUCAGUGAUGAAGAUAUUGGAUCAUGUCUGUAGGCAAAAGGGAUAGGAACGAGUAAAAGCAGAGUUUACUUACAAAAUUUUGCUUUAAUCGGAAAAAAACAGAAUUAGCUUGUCGUAAAACUCUCGAUCGUUACUUGCACUCAGCAUCGCAAAUCUCACUUCUGCUCUGUGUGUCAUUCAGCUGUGUGACAACUACGUGAUGUAGUUAUUUCGCUUCAUUCUUUUUCUUAUAUAGUUUUUUUUAAGUUGAUUUAUUUUGAGAAAGAGAGAGAGAGGGUGGGGGAGGAGGAGAGAGAGAGGAGAGAGAGACUCCCAAGCAGGCUCCUCGCUGUCAGCUCAGAGCCGGAGGCAAGGCUGGAACCCGUGAACCGCGAGAUCAUAACCUGAGCCAAAACCGAGAGUCAGACACUUCACUGCUUGAGCCACACAGGGGCCCCUCUGAUACGGUUUUAAAAACAAAAAUUAUUUCUUUAAUUUGCCUCCGAUUUUUGUGGAAAAGUUACUCUGCCAAUACAUAAAGAUUGUCCAAAAAAGUGUUAGAAACAGAAUUUGAGAAAAGCAUAUACAUACUCACAUCCAAAACAUUCUGUCCUUAUAUUCAGCUCGUGAAAACCCGUAGGCCUGCUUCCAGCACUCCCUGCAGAUACUCUGUGGUACACCUAGUCUCUCACACACACACACACACACACACGUGCGCGCACACCGCUGCCACGACAUUGUGUUGUACUUCACUGGCCACACGAACGUGUGGGAUUCGUCACCAUCGUGUGCUAUGCGAGAGGAGAUUCUGCUGGAGGUGUUUGAAACAGAAGUAGCUUUAGAACCUAAACACUGGAGAAACCGUUUUCCCUGACCUCCCCUGUCCUGGAUUCUCACCUGUGACUCUCCUCCACGCUGCUUGGGUGCUAAGUGACACUAUGGCUCCAGGGUCAACGGCCACUGGUCAAAUGAGUGGCCAAAAUUCACGGCAUCCAACAGGAAGAAGAGAAUCACGCCCGCAGAAUCCCUUAGGCGGGCAACCGACGAGUGUUAAUACUGUGCUCAGAGCUCCGCCAGCCUCCGAAGAGACUACAAGAGGAGCACCAGACAGCCCUCGACCUUAAGGAAAUUAUGAGAAACUAACAUAGUAAGUGAUAGUUUAGAAGGUUUUAUAAGGAAAAACUGUUACGAAAUCCGAUGUUCGAUUUUUUAUAGGCAAAUGUUCGCAGCUCCUGAUGCUGUAAUAAGUACCCCAGGAGUUGAAAAGAGGACAUUAUUAGGGUGGCCGUGUUAGGGAAGUCUCGAUGCAGUGGGGUCCCCAAGAGCCGGCAGAGAGGGCAGCCCGUCCCCUGUCCAGGGGAGACACGCACGUCUCCAGUCUGCCAUUCCAGGGGACGCUGAGAAGGAACCAGCCCGAUUACAGCAUUACUCUUACUUGAGAACCAUUAACUGUUUCUCACGAUGACCCGAGUUGAAGCACGCUGAGGAAUUUCUCUGCUAAGUGCGGAGGAGAUGUGAGGUUGUCUUCCCAAAACAGCUUUAGAAGAAAAUUACGAUCAGGAUGAGUAUUCGCUUAAGAUGGCUGAAGGGCCAGUGCAAAGCAACCGAGUGGGCUGGCUGGUCGGGGUCCCUCCGGAGCCCUGCCGGUUUGCUGAUCUCUCGCGCCGCCUCUGGCCUUUCUAGCUGGUUGUGCUGAUGUGGGUCAGAGGCGGUGGCACUUGGUCAAGGUGAGGGCGCGGGGUGGAUCGGCGUCGCUUCUCGGGAGGAAUGCACGUGUAGGGGAAGCACCCGUGGACCCCCAGCAGUUGUCAGUACCUUGUCAUCCCGAGCCACAUAUCCAGACAAGUCACUUGUACAGGCCGAGUUAACCGGCAAGGGUAUUGUUUUUCCCUGCCCCGUUACUUGAAUUUUGGGCGCGUACCCAUCUUUCAGGAGAACGUCUGCUAUCUUUCUAAUUGUACACGCAGUAGCUGCUUUCCAUUAUCUAACCUGCCCUCGCAGAGAAACGUCAUCACUAAUCUGCUCCAGAAAAGACGUGCAUCCCUUAUGUGUGUCCGUGUUGGAGGCGCGUCACAGAGCUUGAUUUUAGUGGUCUCUGGCUCAAACCAAAGGGUGAGAACAUUCUGAAGAUAUGUUUUCCCUCAUCCGUUAUUACAAGUCCCAUAAGAUACCCUUUUGAAACGUUCUGGAAAGUGCCUUUUCAAGGAUUAUGGUUCUUUUAAAUAAUAUAGGUAAUACUUCAGAGUCGGUUCAUUGGAGAGUAAAUAUGACCAGUUGUUUCACUACAUUUGAAAAAUGUCUAUGCAGAAAUAAUUCUGUAGUUACUAAUGGAAGCCUUUGUCUUUUCUGCUGUCAAUAUUAAACACAGGCUCCGAUCAAAGUUUUUGGAGAGGUUUUCCAAACUGCGUACCUGCCUGAGAUGUGAAAUUUUAUUAUUUAAACCGUGAGGCUUAGAUUAUGGCCCUCAAAUGCUAAUUAAGCAGUGGGAUUCUUAUUUCUUUUUUUUUUUUUUAAGUUUAUUCAUUUAUUUUGAGAGAGAAAGAGAGCGGGAGAGGGGCAGAGAGAGAGAGAGAGAGAGAGAGAGAAUCCCAAGCAGGCUCCGCACUGUCAUCACAGAGCCCGACGCUGGGCUCAAACUCCAGAGCUAUGAGAUCAUGACCUGAGCUCAAAUCAAGAGUUGGUCACUUAACCAACUGAGCCACCCAGGAACCAACUUCUAAUAAUGUUCAAAUGGUAGUUUCUUCGGUAAGUAGUACACUACAGUACAUGUAUGUGUUAAGUGAUUGUUAAAUGAAGUGUCAAACACUAAAUUUUCUUCUCAGUUUAUUUGGUAAGUACAAACUUUUACAAGGGUUGGUCUAGGUUGUUUUUGUUUUUGUUUUUAACUGGGCUAAUUUACAUGCAGUAAAGUGAACAAAUUAUAGUGGACCUACAGCUUAGUGAAUUUUUAUAUAUUUAUACCCGUAUCACCAUCUCCAGAUCAACACUUAAAAUCGAUAUAACCAUAGGUAUGUUCUGUAGUUCGGUUUGGGUGGUUAUGUAGGUGUGUGCAGUAUAAAUGUUUUAUAUGGAGUGACUAUAGUUACCCCUUGGAUAAGCACAGAACUUCAAAUAUAGUCUUCAGUUUUUAAGCAGUAUAUGUUAAGUGUUUAGAGAAAUAAAAUGACCUUAAUCCAUGUCGUAGAAGGAUGUGAAAAUUAAUUGCAUGAUUUCUGCAGAUAAAAGCUGCCUAAAAAAAACAAAAACUGCCUAAGAACUUUUAACCCUGACAUGGCUCAGGUCUGCCCAUUCCAGUAGGUGCGCAAACACACACACACACACACACACACUGGACACAGUCCCCCUUCAUUCUCCUCCUGGCCCACCUCACUCUUUCAUACGUAGUGAAGGAGAAAGAUGCUUGCACCUAGUGAAGUGAGGAAGGGGCCAGCUUCCUUUCAAUGUGACGUCCCCCUGUCACCCAGGAGGACUGCCUGUGGUGCACAUCUGCUGGAUUGGAGGCAGGGAUGAGCGGUUGAGACCUAGGGAAAGGACCUGGAUGGACGCUGUGUCACCUGGAGUCUGUUCCCAGAAAUACCACUUUCAGCUGGAAUGUCUUUAAUGUCUCGUUUAACUUCUCUGGCCCUACUGUCUCUAAACCUGGUAAAGUCGUGCCCAACAGCCUCAUGGAGCUGUGUGGUCUUUAUAUGGAGGAAGUCACACGAAGGUAUUUUGCAGAUGGUAAAGCAUUAGGAAGGGAACAUGUGUGCAUCGCUCUCUGUAGCUUGUUCCUUCCCUCUCUGUGCUUCCGCUCUGUGCUGCCGCAGGGAGUCUUGUGGGGGAGAGUAACUGAAAGAGAGGUACUGAAAGAAAAUAAUUUUAAUAUGAUAUAAUUUAAUAGUACAUAAUUUAGCGAAUAGUUUUCAUAUGCCUUAUCCCACUCGAUUCUCACAUAAUUCUAAAAAGAACCAUAGUGUGCCCAGUUGGCGUGUGAGGAAAUUGAUGUUCAGAAAGGUUAAUCUUUCCCAAAAUGAACCAACAGAUCAGUGCCAGAGCUGGCGUGUUGUUUGCAUUGUUGAAUUCUGUAGUUGCGCCUUUGCCUACCCCUUACCGCUGCCUACACUUCAGUCGGACUUUUAUCAAUUCUUAUUUUUCUGAUCAUUGUCUCUGGCUUGGGAAACAUUCAUCCUGAGUCUCGGUCAGACCUCAGAUAUUCUAACUGUAAAAUUACGUGUUCUGCAGUUCUCCAUCCUGGGGUAAAACUGCGGGUCCGUCCUUUUCAAACCAUUUGAGUCGGAUAUUGUGUAUUUCUAUAUUAUGUAUGCAUAAGAACACCUGCAGACUAAACGGAUCAGUAUUCUAAAUGUAUUAUGCCAAACACUAAAAAAAAGGCAGGGGGUGUGGGGGGGUGCCUGGGUGGCUCAGUCAGGUAAGCGUCUGACUUCAGCUCAGGUCUUGAUCUCACGGUCUGUGGGUUCGAGCCCCACGUCGGGCUCUUUGCUGACAGCUCAGAGCCUGGAGCCUGCUUCGGAUUCUGUGUCUCCCUGCCCCUCUCCUGCUCAUGCUCUGUCUCUCUCUUUCUCUCAAAACUGAAUAAACAUUAAAAAAAAUGUAGGGGUACCUAGGUGGCUCAGUUAAGCGCCUGACUUCAGCUCAGGUCAUGAUCUCACGGUUCGUGGGUUUGAGCCUCGCAUCGGGCUCUGUGCUGGACACUUGCUGGGAGCCUAGAGCCUGCUUCGGGUUCUGUGUCUCCCCCUCUCUCUGCCCCUCCCCCACUCAUGCUCUCUCAAAAAUGAAUAAACGUUAAUAAACAAAAAUAAAUGUAUUGUGUAAAUGCUUGUUAUAUUUAAAAUGUAUCCCUUCCCCCCCCCCAUUUUAGUGUUCGAAAGAAUCCUCAAACCAAGAAAAUACAAAUUACCUCUUCCAUCUUUAAAGUGACGGCAUACGUAAGUGUUGAAGGGGAAUUUGCAACCAAUCAAUUUAAUUACUGGGUAUUAACAGGGUUGUUACAAUGGGAGUUAGCAACUAGUGCAAUGUUAUGUCUAGGAGAAAAGAUGAUGGAUGAUAUUUAGUGUUUUUGUCAAAAUUAGAAGUUGAUAAGUUACGCUUUUAUUUGGAGGGCCAAACGUCCCCCCUGGCCUCUUUUCUGUUGUCCCUGUCUAAUAAUAGUCCGUCCUUAUUUAAGAGCGAAAUGUGUGACUCAGAUGCAGUAGAACACAUUCUCUAGCUUGUCGAACCGUAGCUUCUAGGGCAGAUAAGUAAGGAUGUUGUAAAUGUCUGUAUAUCACAGAAUCUGAUGCUUGAAUUCUAGUGUCAUAUAAAAGAUUGUUAGCACAUUUGAAGCAGUUUCUAAGUAUCUUUAUUCAAUCACUUAACAAAUACUGUUAAGUGCCGGUUGUGUAUCCCCCGCUGUGUUGGGCAUUUUGUGGUGAUAAAGAAAAGAAACAAAGUUGCUUCCCUCAUAGUAUGUAAAGAUCACAUUCUAAAGGAAAGCAAAGAUAGAAGAAAAUUGCAAGACAAAUUUUUGCAAUAUUAGCACUUUAAAAGCACUUUUUCAAAAGAGAAGAUUUCCUUUUAGACUAGAAGUUCCUUAAGGUCGAGAAUUAUGUGCAUUUGUAUUGUACAUAUGUACUGUUGCCCAGUAGACUGCUGUCAGUAAAUAUUUUAAAGUAUCAGUUAAUUACCAAUUUAAUUGUCAGAGAUUUGAUGUAAGUUUCAUGACAUUUUAGCAGAAAAUAUAUAGUAGUUAAAUAUGUUGAUUAUUACUUACAUGCAGUUGUAGACUAAAUAACCUAGGUUUAUCUUUUUCAGGAUUCCGCUGGCAUGUGCUACCCUUCAACAAAGUCUCACGAACAGACAUUUUCUUACUUUCUUGUGGAUCCGAUCAGGCGUCAUGUUCAUGUUCUAUACCACUGUUACGGUGUGGGGGAAAUGUCUUAACAGUAUUCUCUCAGAUUAUCGAUUUUACGGUUUUUACCAAUCUUUUACUUUGACGUCAUUUUAUAGGUAAACAUCUCCUCUGCCAGUUAAUUUAAGUAAAAUGUAGAGAAGCCGCAUAGAACAGAAGGACACGGUACAAGAUGCCUGUCUUUAAAUUUGCCUGGAGUGGUAGCAUAGGGACCGAACUCCAUCCCUACCACGGUCUACACCAAUAUAGUUGUGGACAAUUUACAGAAAGAUACAAGGAACUAAAAAUCCAGUCCGUAUUUGUCGCAUUAGGAUUCAAGUAAGGCCUCGAUUUUCCACGUAUUUUAUUUUAGAAGCUAAUUAAUUUUAGCUUGAAACUGUGGCAGAAAACUGACCAUCUCUCCACUGAUCAUUAUUAUCAACUGUUAGCUUUUCAAAUUUGAGUUUCAUUUCAUUGCAUUUCUUCACUGCAUAAAGAUUUACACGUCCAGGGGUGUAAAAUGCAUAACAAUUCCUUUGCUUCGUUUGUCCCAGUUAAAAUCCUCAAUAAAAAAAGUCAUGUUCUGAAAGUAAUCAUGUUCUGAAGUCUUUUAGCACAUAAUAAAUUACCUCUGCGGCUG